rnacentral:rRNA from 1 species
UGGGGAAUAUUGGACAAUGGGCGCAAGCCUGAUCCAGCCAUGCCGCGUGAGUGAUGAAGGCCCUAGGGUUGUAAAGCUCUUUCACCGGUGAAGAUAAUGACGGUAACCGGAGAAGAAGCCCCGGCUAACUUCGUGCCAGCAGCCGCGGUAAUACGAAGGUGGCUAGCGUUGUUCGGAUUUACUGGGCGUAAAGCGCACGUAGGCGGACUUUUAAGUCAGGGGUGAAAUCCCGGGGCUCAACCCCGGAACUGCCUUUGAUACUGGAAGUCUUGAGUAUGGUAGAGGUGAGUGGAAUUCCGAGUGUAGAGGUGAAAUUCGUAGAUAUUCGGAGGAACACCAGUGGCGAAGGCGGCUCACUGGACCAUUACUGACGCUGAGGUGCGAAAGCGUGGGGAGCAAACAGG